rnacentral:ncRNA from 1 species
AGCGCAUGAGACCGGUGUUCGCUCGUCAACGUCUUUGUUGGCGGCGAUCUGAGAUAUACGGUCUGAACUUGAUCAGGUUAAAGCCUGCGAAAGGACUCAUGCUUUGCUUCCC